UGGAAGUAAAAGUCGUAACAAGGUCUCCGUUGGUGAACCAGCGGAGGGAUCAUUACCGAGUUUACAACUCCCAAACCCCUGUGAACAUACCAAUUGUUGCCUCGGCGGAUCAGCCCGCUCCCGGUAAAACGGGACGGCCCGCCAGAGGACCCCUAAACUCUGUUUCUAUAUGUAACUUCUGAGUAAAACCAUAAAUAAAUCAAAACUUUCAACAACGGAUCUCUUGGUUCUGGCAUCGAUGAAGAACGCAGCAAAAUGCGAUAAGUAAUGUGAAUUGCAGAAUUCAGUGAAUCAUCGAAUCUUUGAACGCACAUUGCGCCCGCCAGUAUUCUGGCGGGCAUGCCUGUUCGAGCGUCAUUUCAACCCUCAAGCCCAGCUUGGUGUUGGGACUCGCGAGUCAAAUCGCGUUCCCCAAAUUGAUUGGCGGUCACGUCGAGCUUCCAUAGCGUAGUAGUAAAACCCUCGUUACUGGUAAUCGUCGCGGCCACGCCGUUAAACCCCAACUUCUGAAUGUUGACCUCGGAUCAGGUAGGAAUACCCGCUGAACUUAAGCAUAUCAAUAG
rnacentral:rRNA from 1 species